UACGUAGGGACCAAGCGUUGUUCGGAUUUACUGGGCGUAAAGGGCGCGUAGGCGGCGUGACAAGUCACUUGUGAAAUCUCUGAGCUUAACUCAGAACGGCCAAGUGAAACUGUUGUGCUAGAGUGCAGAAGGGGCAAUCGGAAUUCUUGGUGUAGCGGUGAAAUGCGUAGAUAUAAAGAGGAACACCUGAGGUGAAGACGGGUUGCUGGGCUGACACUGACGCUGAGGCGCGAAAGCCAGGGGAGCAAACGGG
rnacentral:rRNA from 1 species